rnacentral:lncRNA from 1 species
CACUACCACCAAGCCUCACGAUUUCCGUUCAUCAUCAUCCAUACAUCCACAAUCAUCGACUUCAUAUUUUAUACAAAAUGCUCGACUUCUAAUCUCAUCAACGUCGGUGAUGAGAAGGAAAGGCGCACCAAAUCAGGUUCGUCUUGGGGUUCGGAAAUAUCCUAGAAAUUCUUACUUUUGGUAUACAUCUUCAGCCCCUCGUAGCCUAUGUUAGUUAUUUUAAAAUUAGAAAUCUAAGUUUGGCGGUCUCAAGAUGCGUCGAGAGGGGAAGUGAGGAAAAAUGCUUGGUUUGCCGAAAUCAGAGUUAGUUCAUCUUGACCUUUGUCAUCACCAGAGGCCACAACAAUGAUCCAACCCUUAAUUCCCUUUCCCUAACUUUUUCCCUUCGUACGAGAAAAUGUGGUGACUAUUGUUCAAUACAUACCACAAAUGAAAUUCGAUUACAAGAUGUUAUGUGUAUCAAGAAAAAUUGAAAGGUUGUCGUCCCGAUAUCCGAUCCAAAUUGACCCCUCUUAUUCGACUAAGGUUUAUCGUCGUCUUCCUCUGUGCGAGAGACGCCUCCCCAUCUUCAACCUCUUCACCUGGUUAGUUUUCUUACAAUGGUUUUUACUCAUUUGAGCCUUAAAUCUUCCUCUUCUUCUAGGGUUUGAACGGCCCCUCUUAUGUUGGGGAUAGAACGACCCAUCUGAUGUUUCCUUAUUCUUCUUGCCUCAAUGAAUCAUCAUUCACCUAUGAUUAUUUCUGAUGAUUAAUUCCUUUCAAGGAAUUUGGUUGUGUUUCUCUAUGUACCCAUUUGUGUUUUCUAACAUUUUAUGAUAAUUUUAAGAGAAAUAAAUUAGUUUAAUUUCUUUAGUAUCUUGUAAAGCCUUGAAAUUCAUUGAUAAGUGUCUACUUAUGAACUGUUUUGGUUAUGCAGAAACUUAAUCUGAAACCAUUACUCACAAGAUUGAAGUUUUUUUCCCAAGAUUGUAUGUUUAAAACAAAGAUUCUUAUUCUUAGUAUUAUCAAAUCAUUCAUUUUAAUUUUGAUCGAAUUUGAUUAUUGCUUAUAGAUAUUUUUGUUUUUUAUAGAACCUUUCAUUGGGUUGAUACGAAGAAAAUGAGAACAAGUGACAAUCUUUAAAAAAAUGACAACAUUUCUUCAAGAAUAAAGAGUAUUUUCUCAAGAAUGAAGGAUAUUUUUCAAAAAUGAAGCAUGUUAUUUCGUAUUCUUCCAAGAAUGAAAUGUUCCUUUGAUGAAUAUUCUAAUUCUUUUUAGGAAUGGUUAUACUUUAGUAGAAUUUUUAUUGAAUUCGAUGUAAAUACAAUGUUCCAACCUAUUCUUUGAAAAAUGACACCAUUUCCUUUCUUAUAAAUUUUAAGAAUGAAAAUUGUAUUCUUUAAUAAAAUUUAAAAUGAAAUAAAUACUUUAAUUAAUGUGUUUGUAUAUUUACUAAAGUUUGGUUCAAAGCUAAUAAAAAAGUCAAACGGGAUCUCAUUAAAUUUGAAAUUUCCUAAAAUAAGAGUAUAUAAAAUGUCCAUAAUCCUAUCCUAAGCCCACAACCAAACAAGGAACAGGAGUUAAAGUAGGAUCACACAUCCUAAGUCUGUAGAAUCUUAAUUAUAUACAACCCUCACGUAUACACCUAGUAGUGAUAGGNAAAAGCAGUAAUUUAAAUAUUUUAAAAUAGUUUAGAAUGGUUUGACAUAGUUUAUAAAGGUAUUAAAUAACUUGAAAUAAUUUGUAAUUGUUUUUAAAUUUUAACACGAAAUACUUUGUGUUUUGCUAGUAUUCUCUCCCUAAAAACAUUGAAAAAUAGUAAAACGCAGGGGUAUGAACUCACCUUAAGUGAGUGAUCGAGACGGGAUACGAUGUAGUAGUGAUGAUCUUCGAGUUAGAAUCUGUAUAAAUAUCCGUAUCCUAAUAGUUGUUAACGCAUAUAAUAUGUGUAUAAUUAGUGGAAAUGAUAGUAAAUAUGUUAUGAAAUAGUGAAUUUUUAUAAGAAUCAUUUACAAAAAAGAGGUCUUAGAAGUUUACUGAAGGAAUGAUAGGCGUUUUCGGUUUUCCUGGGUGAUUUUGGUUGCUUGAAGAUAUGAAGGGUGUUCUUGG